AGGUAAAAGAGAUUACGAACGUAUACGGAAUCUUAUUUACACAGAUGUUCAUGUUUUUAUUAUUUGUUUUUCAGUAAUAUCUAUUGAAUCUUUUGAUUCUGUUACGAAAGUGUGGAUUCCUGAAAUAAAAAAUUUGGAAAAAUCUUUGGAUAUUGAACGUAAAAUUCCAUAUAUUUUAGUAGGUUUACAAAUUGAUUUAAGAAAUGAUGAAAAAAUAUUACCUAGUUUAAAUGGAGAGCGACCAAUACAAAAUCUAGAAGGACAAGAUUUAGCAGCUCACAUUAAUGCAUAUGACUAUCUUGAAUGUUCUUCCACUAAAAAUGAAGGAAUUGAUGACGUAUUUGAAAAAGCUAUAGAUGCUUACAAUAAUUCUAUUUGCAAAAAAAAAGAUGAAAGCAUAAGAAUUAAAAAGAAAAGAAAAUUGAAAUUAAAAUGUAAUCUUAUGUAGUAUUUUAAUUUCAUAGAUUUUUUUUUCGAAUAUUUU